rnacentral:tRNA from 1 species
GGCAAGAUGGCCGAGCGGUCUAAGGCGGUGUGUUCAGGUCGCAUUCCGAAAGGGCGUGGGUUCGAAUCCCACUCUUGUCA